rnacentral:rRNA from 1 species
GACGAACGCUGGCGGCGUGCUUAACACAUGCAAGUCGAACGGAAAGGCCCUGCUUUUGUGGGGUGCUCGAGUGGCGAACGGGUGAGUAACACGUGAGUAACCUGCCCUUGACUUUGGGAUAACUUCAGGAAACUGGGGCUAAUACCGGAUAGGAGCUCCUGCUGCAUGGUGGGGGUUGGAAAGUUUCGGCGGUUGGGGAUGGACUCGCGGCUUAUCAGCUUGUUGGUGGGGUAGUGGCUUACCAAGGCUUUGACGGGUAGCCGGCCUGAGAGGGUGACCGGCCACAUUGGGACUGAGAUACGGCCCAGACUCAUACGGGAGGCAGCAGUGGGGCAUAUUGCACAAUGGGCGGAAGCGUGAUGCAGCAACGCCGCGUGCGGGAUGACGGCCUUCGGGUUGUAAACCGCUUUCGCCUGUGACGAAGCGUGAGUGACGGUAAUGGGUAAAGAAGCACCGGCUAACUACGU